rnacentral:rRNA from 1 species
ACGAACGCUGGCGGCGUGCCUAAUACAUGCAAGUCGAACGAGAGCAACCGGUGCUUGCACUGGUCAAUCUAGUGGCGAACGGGUGAGUAACACGUGGGUAACCUGCCCAUCAGAGGGGGAUAACAUCCGGAAACGGAUGCUAAAACCGCAUAGGUCUUCGAACCGCAUGGUUUGAAGAGGAAAAGAGGCGCAAGCUUCUGCUGAUGGAUGGACCCGCGGUGCAUUAGCUAGUUGGUGAGGUAACGGCUCACCAAGGCCGUGAUGCAUAGCCGACCUGAGAGGGUGAUCGGCCACAUUGGGACUGAGACACGGCCCAAACUCCUACGGGAGGCAGCAGUAGGGAAUCUUCCGCAAUGGACGCAAGUCUGACGGAGCAACGCCGCGUGAGUGAAGAAGGUUUUCGGAUCGUAAAACUCUGUUGUUAGAGAAGAACAAGUGCUAGAGUAACUGUUAGCGCCUUGACGGUAGCUAACCAGAAAGCCACGGCUAACUACGUG